ensembl:lncRNA
CAUUUUCCUAUUGAACAUACUUCUUUCCGUGUUAAACAUGAUAGUUUAAUUACAUUUUAGGGUAUCUGAGGAUUAAAUAGAAACAUAUUUUGACUUGUUGAAACAAAGUUUAGGGGUACAUUUUUGUAUUCUUAUCUUUGCAUGUGGAACGAGUGGAUUACUCAAAUCAAUGGUGCCAACUAAACAGACUUUUUGGGGUACAAAGAAGGAUUUUAUCUAACAAAACGACACUACAUGGUAUUUCUGGGACCCUUUGGAUGACAAAUCAGAGGAACAUUUUCAAAAAGACUCCUGGACAUGGGAGGAGAUUCUGAACGGUAAGGGACCCUGGGCACAGGCUGGAGAAUAUCGCCGCCCCAAGGCUGAGCUGGAGGCAGCGUAAUCCGAGAGGCGGUGGUAUGAGGAGGCAGCCCCAAAAAUGACGUGGCGAAGUCAGGUAGGAGACCUGCGCCAACUCCCCGUGCUUACCGUGGAGAGAGGCACCGUGUUAUGCCGUGAGGCGCACAGUCAUAGCCCGGUGCGGUACAUAGCAGAGCCUCGUAUCGGCCGGGCU